GGGUUAUGGGAAGGGGUCAAAUUACAUAAUUGAGAAUUUUUGAGAAUACAUUCCCUGUCUGCAACGCAUUUGUUUCUUUUAUAAAAUGUCAAAAUUGCCCAUAUGUGAUUGAGACCUUAUCUUGCGUUGCCCUUCCAGGGCAGGUAAGGUGAAGUUUCUUUAUGUGAUUGACCUAAUCAGGUGAGGCUAACAAAAGUUUAUGGUCUACCAUGAC
rnacentral:lncRNA from 1 species